rnacentral:lncRNA from 1 species
UUUUUAGGGCUGCACCCAUGGCAUAUGUAGGUUCCCAGGCUAGGGGUAGAAUUGGAGCUACAGCUGUCAGCCUACACCACAGCCACACAGGAUCCAAACUGCAUCUGAAACCUACACCACAGCUCAUGGCAACCCUGGAUCCUUAACCCACUGAGUGGUGCCAGGGAUGGAACCCGCGUCCUCACAGAUACUAGUCGGGUUUGCUAACUGCUGAACCACAAUGGGAACUCUUAUUUAGGAAUUUUUAAAAAUGUUUAUAACUUAAACUUGAAUAAUCACCAGUGGCUAGUGGCUAUCACAUUAGAUAGGGCAGCUCUUCAGGAAAUGUUGAAUGACUCUUGUAAGACAAUUAGAAGUUUCUCCAGAUUGGUGGUAGAUAAAUCAAAGAUACCUGCAGGGGGACAGUGGCAAAAACAUCCUCAACUACCUGUCCUUCCACUUUACAGAUUUAUCCACACCUGUACCAGCCUCUUCCUCCUGCCAUUCCUUCUCAGUGGGAAAGAAAUCUUCUCUUGCCUAAAGCUGACCCUUCCACUUUUACUUUGGAUUCCAUUCCUUCCCAUGUGCCAAUUUAAGAACCUCCUCUCUCAUUUAUCAUUAUCAAGUUUUCGGUCUCCACUGGAUCUUUCCCUUUUAGCAUAUAAACAUGUUCCCUCUCCUAUAUUCAAAACGAACCUUUCCUCAACCCUAUUAUGACCCUCUUGCUGCGAUCCAUCUUGCUCAAGCCUAACCAGAUCUCUUGAAACAGAGUUACUUUUGUCACUUCUGGUCUGUUGACUAAUUCCAGCUAUACCUGGCUGGAAUAGAGGUGGCGGAAAUCAGAAGAGGUGACCAAGGGGUGCAUGAACUUGACGGAAAUGUUUGAUACAAGUGUGCUGGAUAGAAGAACAUUUAUUGGAUGUUUACACUUUUUGUACAUACUAAGUAGUAUUUGAUGAAUUGUUUAAAUUCCUAAGGAAAGAUCUUUUUAUGCAAAGACCAUCUAACACUGUUCUUAGCACUGUCGUUCCUCACCCAAAGCCACCCUGUAAUCAUGUUACAGACCAAAACGCCACUAGAACAGAAAGGGUCACCAGCCAAAGGAAAUCUUAUCCUCAAGUGGUAUCUGAUAGAACAAAACUUCAGAACAAGGAAAGAUUUGGGAAUCCACCAGGAUUGGUCUCCGAUGCUUUAACGGGACCCUUGGAGCAUUCCUUUCUGGAGUGCCUUUGUUUUAUGUGCAUUACAUAACUGCCCUCGUCUGACCCGUGUCUGAAAGGGGAAAGCAGCUUUGGCACCUGCAGCCAUUUCCUAAGAGGGCUCCAAAGCCCGCUCCGAAAAUAAUCCACCACUGUGAGGUGGACACCUGAGCUAUGCUGAGGCUCAGACAGAGACCAAAGGUGAUGAUCUCUGCAAUCACAUCACCUUUCUUCUCUACUCAACCCCCUGGGGACUCAGGGCUGCCAACAGGACAGUGACAAGUGUUCAAUUCGAGCACAACCUAAAAGGCCCCUUUAUGAACAAUUCAUGUAAGAUGCUGCCAAGUCAACACCCUUAGAACCAGGUUCACUCAGCUUUCUGAACUGCUUUCACUGGGUAGGUCUUGUGCUUUAGCACAAAGAAAGGGAGGACAUGAAACUAUCUGCAGUAGCACAGUUUCAAAAAAAUAUGAAAGUCAGCACACCUGGAAGGCAGUGAGACAUCAAAUGACAGCUCUCAUGGCUGGCUCUGGCUCUCCCAGCGUGAUGUCACAUGGCAGGUCACCCCAAUGCACUUCAUAGGCAUCACUGAGCUGGUGUUCUCAGCAGCUACACACCUGCUUCUGGCUGAGGGCUGGCAAGUGUGGUCAGGACUAGUAAGCAACAACAAAAGAAAAGGAUUCCUAGGAUCCCUGCUUGUGCAUGGCCUUUUUUUCUGACCCUCUACUGAGCACAGCGACUGAGAUUUUUUACAGACCACAGUCAAAAACUUUUUAGGAGAAGCCCUCACUUGGGCAAAGCAGAAGGUUUGUGAAAAAGCAUUUCUCCAUUUACUGAAUGCAGAAAAAUGGCAUGUAUAACAUUGAACUAAAGGCUUCAAUACCUAAUGCAAGGCUUAAAAGCUGAAGUACUGAUUGGGGCUUACCAGCACUGAGAAAACACCCCUAAAAGACCUCAGGAGGAGGGUUGAAGCAGGGCAGGUUUGAAAGAUGGCUUUUUGUUGUUAUUGUUUUAAAUUAUUAAAGUAUAGUUGAUUUACAAUGUCGGGCCAAUUUCUGCUGUACAGCAAAGUGACCCAAACAUCUAUAUACAUACAUACCUUUAUCAUAUUUCAUCGUGGUCUAUCCCAAGAGACUGGAUCUAGUUCCCUGUGCUGUAUACCAGGACCUCAUCACUUAUUCUUUCUAAAUAUAAUAUUCUUAGUCACAAGUCUGUGCCCAUCUUUGAAUGGGUCAAUAGUGAUUGGGGCAAAUCAAGAUCUUAAUCCUCUGGUAGAAGCACUGGUUCUUCAUGGCUCCCAACCCUCCCCUUCCAGCCAGCAAAGUGAUGGCUGCUUAGGACGACAUGCUCUGGAGAGGACCCCAACCUCUGGCCAUCUUCAGGGCAGAACAGCAAGAGCAACUCCAGGGCUGUAAGUGAGAGGCACGGUGCCACCCAGCUGCCCUCCGGGGUGCUCAGAGGAUGGGAGCAUCUGGGCAGAGCUGCUGCCAAUUCCCUUCUUCCCUGGAAGGUAGAAACUUUCCGGACAGCUGGCUUCACCCAAACAAUGAAUGUUUAUGGGGCUUUAUUAUUUGCCAGGCACUGGGUUGAAACGCUGCACAAACUGAGACUUGGACAGCCUAAGUAAGUUUGCCAAGUUCAUGUGGUCAGGAAAUAAGCAAUGGAGCCAAGAUGAGACCCGCGGUAUCCUGAAGCCUAUGUGUAUGCUGUGCUAGGGGAACCACCUGAGGUAGAUGGCUCCUAAAACAGGGGUCAGCUUUUCCUCUUUCAUUCUUUUUUUUAAACAUAUCUACGAGAUGGCUGGCUGGAACCAAAAUGUGGGGAAGAGAAAGAAGUCCUGCUCUGGUGAAGGAGAUGAGACUUAAAGAAUUAGAGACCAUGACGAAAGGGUAUAUAAUCAAGGGCUAAAUUGCAGGGUAUGGACUUUAAACCCUAAAGGAACUCAGAGCAGACAGACCUCAAGGAAACUCCCUGAUCUGGGGCUUGAGAUGGGGAUGAGGGGCACGGAAGGUCAAAGAUAUGCACUUAAGGGGCCAGGACAGCAGGGGAGCCAGGAGGCAUGUGUGGGCCCGCACGUGUGUGAGGACAGCUACACAGCCAGAUAGUAGGGCACAGGGAUCCUCUGUCACCAUUGAAGCAAUGUCAAAAUGGGAAGUUCCCGUUGUGGCUCAGCAGUUAACAAACCCAACUAGCAUCCAUGAGAACGCGAGUUUGAUCCCUGGCCUUGCUCAGUUAGUUAAGGAUCCGGUGUUGCUGUGAGCUGUGGUGUAGUUCUUAGAUGCGUUUUGGAUCCCGCAUUGCUGUGGCACAUAGGCCGGCAGCUACAGCUCCGAUUGGACCCCUAGCCUGGGAACCUCCAAAUCCCGCAAGUACGGCCCAAAAACCCCCAAAAAAAAAAAAAAAAAGUCAAAAUGUAAACUGUAGUAAAGUGUAUUUUCUGUCAGUGUGUCUUAUACUUUUGAGGGCUUUCUCAGAAGAGUCAAAUUACCUUUGAACUUUUAUAUUAAUGUUUAAAAUAUUCAACGUAUUAAGAGUUUACAAAUCCAAAUCCUUCAAGGAGUUCAAUGUGCAAAUCCAUAUGAGCACAUUUCCACAUUUUUAAGGGAGACUUGACAAAUUAUACUAAAUGUUUUAAACUGCAUUCAGAAAUUUUAAACGAUCUAUUCGCCUUAGAGUACUUCAACACCUAACCACUUAGCUCUCAGAAUUUUGAAGUAUCAUUAUGGUUGGUUCUCAAGGUCUCAUUGUUCCCAUACUUGUAAACAUUAAGUCCAAACCUCUUACUCAAUUACCUAUUUUAAAUUUAAACUCAAGGAUGUUUCUCACGGGCAACAUUUUUAUUAAUUGUAAGUGUUAAUAUUUAAAAUAACAGAUGUACACAGAUUAGUCUUUAACCAAAAAAAUGUUUGAUUUAGUUUAUUUUUCUUAACUUAGUUUUCACUUAAAAUUUCAAACACACUUAAUCCACUAAAGAAACAAUCAGCUUUCCCGAAUAAUGUGGGUUGCCUUCCUCAACUAAGUGAAUUUUAGGGGAUUUUUUUUAAUUGGCUGGGCCUGCACAUUGACCAGAUAUGGAGCAGCAGGCAGCCAGGGUGAGUUUUUCGAUACCCUUUGUUAUGAUUAUGUCAACACAAUCCAGAAUAAAAAUGGUCUUGGCCCUAGCACUUCCACACAGGUGACUAAUUUCUCAAUCCUGAGGAGUCUGAACACAGGAAUUGUAGCUAGCCUCCUUUGAGCUUUGUUGGAGUUUCAUCUCUCUGGCUCUUAAAUCCAUCUCUCUCAAGGCUUUGGUGACCUCUGGUUACAGUGCUAAAGCUAAGCAGUCUCCCAACUACGAUUUGGAAUAAAAUGGGGUGAGAGUGUCCCAUCUACAUAUGCCUCAGGAUUAACUUCAGGUCAAAUGUUAAAAUGUGAGAAAGAACAUGUCCCAAUCACAACUCUACGCUCCUCUAUGCCUCCAUCUCAAAGCCAAGUGCAUUCCAGAUCUUAGUCAAUGACACAUGCAGAUGUCCAAGCCAGAGACCCACAUCUUCUGUGAUUCCUUCCUUGCCUCCCACCCCAACCAGUUAUAAACGCUAAACAACCAUGAGUCCAAUUUCCUUUGCCCUUCUCCACUUGCCCUAUGACAGAGACCAGAACCUUAUCAUGUCCUGAUUGGAAGACACUCACAGCUCGGCAUCCUACCCAGUCCCCCCGUACACAUCCUCCCCUGCAAGGUAACCUCUGGACCACGUGAUUCUGAUGCUAUCAACCCCAGAGCUGGAACAGUUUCCUAUGAUCCACAGAGUCAGCCCUUAGGACUGAUAAGGCUGUUCAAAGCUUUACUGCCAGCUUCGUUCCCUGAUGUUACAUUCAUCAUCCGUGCUCUGCUCUUCUGCCCACCCAAUUCCUCCUGAAUAGAACAGCCUUCAUUCUGUCCAUUCAGAUGCCAUUCCUCAUUCCAAGGUCAUUUCCAAUAUCCUCUGCACAGGUCAAGCCUUUCCUGAUCAGCUGUUAGAAAAAAAAAAAAAGGUCAACUCUUACUCUUAUGAGUUUUCAGGGCAUGUUAUAUAAUCUUGACUGUCUUAAGCUACAUUUUCAGUUUAUUUCCUAAAGAGGUUGUAAACGGAGGGCCAGGAGCUGGUUUAUUCUUUAUCAACACAAUACUUGGCGUGUUGUUUAAUUAACCUGCUGCCUUGUUCCAUAAAGUAUAUGAGGUUAUUCUUGGCACAAAGUAGGUGCUAAAAAAUAUCCUCCCGCAUCCCACAAGGACAGCAGCUUAAAAGGCAAGACCCAGGUAGGAACUUCAUUUUGUUCACGGACACAGCUAGAUCAGUGCACACAAUAAGCACUCAAUAUUUGGAGAAGAAGAAAGGGAACGAGAAAGAUGUAGGCAAACAAGUGCCUUUAGAAGAAAAAGGAUGCUUUCCAAGGGGACUAUUAUUAGACUAGAAAAGAUUAAACAAGGCUACGACCAUGACCACAUCAAGAUCAAAAGAAACUCUAAAGGAGUCACCAAAGCCAGAACAACUGAGCCCCUGCUGUGCUCCAGUAACAAGGUACAGAUCUCAUGAAUGGUGGCCUGGCCUCUUGGCUGGCACGCACC